UUGUAUUAUAAUAAUAAUAGUAAUGGUUGUAUUUUUCUGUGCUUUUCCAGACGCCCAAAGCGCUUUACAAUGUGUAGCAAUUAUUUAUUCCCUCCCCAUUCAAACUUGGUGAUGGUAAACUACUGAUGCAGCCACAGUGGGGCAGUGGUUAGCGCCUCUGGCCUGUCCAGGGUGUACCCCGCCUUCCUUUGCCCAACAGUAGACAGGUAAUGCUGUGGCGCCCCUGUGACCUCGAAAGGGAUACUGCGGGUUAAGGAAAUGGAUAGAUGGAUCGAUGGAUGGAUAUGUCCUCUUUUGGGAGAAAAAUGUUACGAGAACAUGUAAAAAAACCAUUUCCAUCGGAGCGGGUCUUUAGAGAAUUUUAACACCAACUUCAUCAUGGCUACAGUAAGCACUAUUUAUUUAUCUGUCUUUACAAAUUUUUUGCUCCAACACCUUUGCAGUUAUGAUUACAGUGUUGACCUUUUCUGCUGACACUGAAGGGAGCCACUGGGAUCUGGGGUGCCGGCUGGGCUGGGAUUGAUGAUGGCUGCUCAGGGUCACAGGAUUACAGAGGUUCAAGAAUGCUUGGAGGAGCUCAAGACAGCAUUUAAGAAAUUGUGAAGCAGAAGCCAUGUCUUCUAAAAAAAUUGCAGGUUACUGGAGCAUCUGGAGCAUAAGAACACCUAGGCAUGGCUUCUUUUUGUGGACUACAGUUUGGCGUUCAAAGUUAUUCAGCCAUUCAAGCUUCAAGCCAAGCUGCACCAUCUCGGACUUAACACCGCACUGUGCAAUUGGAUCACAGAUUUUUUAACCAACCGCAAACAGAGUGUUAGAUUGGGAAAGUACACUUCAUCCACUGUAUCAAUCAAUACAGGCCCCCCCCCUAAGGGUGUGUGCUGAGCCCUCUAUUCUACUCUCUGUUCACUCACGACUGCUGCUCAUCAUCUUCAUUCAACCUCAUUGUUAAAUUUGCUGACGACACUACAGUGCUUGGACUUAUCAACCACAAUAAUGAAACGGACUACAGGAAAGAAGUGCAACACCUGGCGUCAUGGUGCAACAAUAAUGACCUGAUCUUAAACAUCAAAAAGACCAAGGAAAUUACCAAGGGAAUUAUUGACUUUCAAAGAUUGUUUUUAACAAUCAGCCACUUUCCAUUGGCACAGAGAUGGUGGAGAGGGUGACCAGUUUUAAAUUUCUGGGGGUCACUAUCACAGAGGAUCCAUCCUGGGAUCCACACACUGUCUCAGUGGUGGGUAAGGCCCAACAACGCCUGAGGAAACUAAAGACUGCUAAAAUGUUCAGGCAGCUGAUGGGGAACUUUUACAACUGUGCCAUCAGCAGUGUUCUGAAAUUUGGUUUCCUAGUGUGGUUUUACAGCUGCAUAAAAGGCUGACCAGCAGAGACUCCAACGGGUGGUGAAAACAGCGGGGAAAAUCAUCGGGACCACUCUCCCAGAGAUGAGCGGCCUCUACACCACCCGCUGUCUAAAGAGAGUCCACAACAUCCUGCGUGACCAGCACCAUCCAGCCCACCACCUCUUCCACCUGCUGCUCCUCAGGAAGGAGGUACAGGCCCACCAAGGCCAGAACAACCAGACAGAAUAACAGCCUUUAUCCACAGGCUGUGCGGCUGCUGAACAGUCCCGCCCACUAACCGCCCCCCACCCCUCUCCAACCGUCUCACCUGAGCACACUGUGAACUGGACUUUGCAUUACUGCACAUCAACAUCAAGCUGCUAUUGACUUAACAUCUGUGUACACUGAAUGUCUUUUUUUAUUUAAUUUUUUGUUUAGUCCUUGUUGUGUUCCUUUUUGUACUGAUGCUGCACAUUGGUUAGUUAUUUAUUUAUUGGGUAUUUAUUUGGUAAAUUGAACUGAGUGUCUGUUGUUGAUGCUCCAAACGCAUUUUCGUUGUUUUAACUGACAAUGACAAAACAAAUGAAUCUUGAAUCUCUUACUGUCUGCUGCAUGAGCUAACGUUGGGGGGCGGGGGUGUUUACUGCUUUUGUGUUUAUUGUUUGUACAUGUGGGUCAGAAGCCUUUGGUUAGUCAUGAUAUUUGCCAAAAAUGACACAAAUGACCAGGUUGAACUUUAGCGCA